GACGAACGCUGGCGGCGUGCUUAACACAAGCAAGUCGAACGGAAAGGCCCUGCUUGCAGGGUACUCGAGUGGCGAACGGGUGAGUAACACGUGGGUGAUCUGCCCUGCACUUCGGGAUAAGCCUGGGAAACUGGGUCUAAUACCGGAUAGGAGCCAUUUUUAGUGUGAUGGUUGGAAAGUUUUUUCGGUGUAGGAUGAGCUCGCGGCCUAUCAGCUUGUUGGUGGGGUAAUGGCCUACCAAGGCGGCGACGGGUAGCCGGCCUGAGAGGGUGGACGGCCACAUUGGGACUGAGAUACGGCCCAGACUCCUACGGGAGGCAGCAGUGGGGAAUAUUGCACAAUGGGCGCAAGCCUGAUGCAGCGACGCCGCGUGGGGGAUGACGGCCUUCGGGUUGUAAACUCCUUUCGCUAGGGACGAAGCUUUUUGUGACGGUACCUAGAUAAGAAGCACCGGCUAACUACGUG
rnacentral:rRNA from 1 species